UACGUAGGGUGCAAGCGUUGUCCGGAAUUAUUGGGCGUAAAGAGCUCGUAGGCGGUCUGUUGCGUCGGCUGUGAAAACCCGGGGCUCAACCCCGGGCCUGCAGCCGAUACGGGCAGACUAGAGUUCGGCAGGGGAGACUGGAAUUCCUGGUGUAGCGGUGAAAUGCGCAGAUAUCAGGAGGAACACCGGUGGCGAAGGCGGGUCUCUGGGCAUUAACUGACGCUGAGGAGCGAAAGCAUGGGGAGCGAACAGG
rnacentral:rRNA from 1 species